GUGCCAGCAGCCGCGGUAAUACGGAGGGUGCGAGCGUUAAUCGGAAUUACUGGGCGUAAAGCGCAUGCAGGUGGUUCAUUAAGUCAGAUGUGAAAGCCCGGGGCUCAACCUCGGUAUUGCAUUUGAAACUGGUGGACUUGAGUACUGUAGAGGGGGGUAGAAUUUCAGGUGUAGCGGUGAAAUGCGUAGAGAUCUGAAGGAAUACCGGUGGCGAAGGCGGCCCCCUGGACAGAUACUGACACUCAGAUGCGAAAGCGUGGGGAGCAAACAGGAUUAGAUACCCUUGUAGUCC
rnacentral:rRNA from 1 species